rnacentral:rRNA from 1 species
UGAGGAAUAUUGGUCAAUGGACGCAAGUCUGAACCAGCCAAGUAGCGUGCAGGAUGACGGCCCUAUGGGUUGUAAACUGCUUUUAUAUGGGGAUAAAGUGGGGAACGUGUUCCCUUUUGCAGGUACCAUAUGAAUAAGGACCGGCUAAUUCCGUGCCAGCAGCCGCGGUAAUACGGAAGGUUCGGGCGUUAUCCGGAUUUAUUGGGUUUAAAGGGAGCGUAGGCCGUUUGGUAAGCGUGUUGUGAAAUGUAGGAGCUCAACUUCUAGAUUGCAGCGCGAACUGUCAGACUUGAGUGCGCACAACGUAGGCGGAAUUCAUGGUGUAGCGGUGAAAUGCUUAGAUAUCAUGAAGAACUCCGAUUGCGAAGGCAGCUUACGGGAGCGCAACUGACGCUGAAGCUCGAAGGUGCGGGUAUCGAACAGGAUUAGAUACCCUGGUAGUCCGCACAGUAAACGAUGGAUGCCCGCUGUUAGCACCUAGUGUUAGCGGCUAAGCGAAAGCAUUAAGCAUCCCACCUGGGGAGUACGCCGGCAACGGUGAAACUCAAAGGAAUUGACGGGGGCCCGCACAAGCGGAGGAACAUGUGGUUUAAUUCGAUGAUACGCGAGGAACCUUACCCGGGCUUGAAUUGCAGAUGAACGAUUUAGAGAUAAUGAGGUCCUUCGGGACAUCUGUGAAGGUGCUGCAUGGUUGUCGUCAGCUCGUGCCGUGAGGUGUCGGCUUAAGUGCCAUAACGAGCGCAACCCCUUUCUUUAGUUGCCAUCAGGUUCUGCUGGGCACUCUGGAGAUACUGCCACCGUAAGGUGUGAGGAAGGUGGGGAUGACGUCAAAUCAGCACGGCCCUUACGUCCGGGGCUACACACGUGUUACAAUGGGUGGUACAGAUAGUUGGUCGUGUG